AUGAACGCUGGCGGCGUGCCUAAUACAUGCAAGUCGAGCGAACGGACGAGAAGCUUGCUUUUCUGAUGUUAGCGGCGGACGGGUGAGUAACACGUGGAUAACCUACCUAUAAGACUGGGAUAACUUCGGGAAACCGGAGCUAAUACCGGAUAAUAUUUUGAACCGCAUGGUUCAAAAGUGAAAGACGGUCUUGCUGUCACUUAUAGCUGGAUCCGCGCUGCAUUAGCUAGUUGGUAAGGUAACGGCUUACCAAGGCAACGACGCAUAGCCGACCUGAGAAGGGGAACGGCCCCACUGGAACUGAGAGACGGUCCAGACUCCGACGGGAGGCAGCGGUAGGGAAUCGUCGGCGAUGGGGGAAAGCCUGACGGAGGGACGCCGCGUGGGUGAUGAAGGUCUUCGGGUCGUAAAACUCUGUUAGUAGGGAAGAACGUAUUUGUAAGUAACUGUGCACAUGGUGACGGUACCUGAUCAGAAAGCCACGGCUAACUACGUG
rnacentral:rRNA from 1 species